rnacentral:rRNA from 1 species
AAAUUGAAGAGUUUGAUCAUGGCUCAGAUUGAACGCUGGCGGCAGGCCUAACACAUGCAAGUCGAACGGUAACAGGGAAACAGCUUGCUGUUUCGCUGACGAGUGGCGGACGGGUGAGUAAUGUCUGGGAAACUGCCUGAUGGAGGGGGAUAACUACUGGAAACGGUAGCUAAUACCGCAUAACGUCGCAAGACCAAAGAGGGGGACCUUCGGGCCUC